rnacentral:rRNA from 1 species
UACGGGGGGGGCAAGCGUUGUUCGGAAUUACUGGGCGUAAAGGGCUCGUAGGCGGCCAACUAAGUCGGACGUGAAAUCCCCAGGCUCAACCUGGGAACUGCGUCUGAUACUGGAUGGCUUGAAUCCGGGAGAGGGAUGCAGAAUUCCAGGUGUAGCGGUGAAAUGCGUAGAUAUCGGGAGGAACACCAGUGGCGAAGGCGGCUGCCUGGGCCAGUUCUGACGCUGAGGCGCGAAAGCGUGGGGAGCAAACAGG